rnacentral:rRNA from 1 species
AACGAACGCUGGCGGCAUGCCUAACACAUGCAAGUCGAACGAGACCUUCGGGGCUAGUGGCGCACGGGUGCGUAACGCGUGGGAACCUGCCCUUAGGUUCGGAAUAACUCCCCGAAAGGGGUGCUAAUACCGGUUAAUGUCUUCGGACCAAAGAUGUAUCGCCUUUGGAUGGGCCCGCGUUGGAUUAGCUAGUUGGUAGGGUAAAAGCCUACUAAGGCGACGAUCCAUAGCUGGUCUGAGAGGAUGAUCAGCCACACUGGGACUGAGACACGGCCCAGACUCCUACGGGAGGCAGCAGUGGGGAAUAUUGGAGAAUGGGCGAGAGCCUGAUCCAGCAAUGCCGCGUGAGUGAUGAAGGCCUUAGGGUUGUAAAGCUCUUUUACCCGGGAUGAUAAUGACAGUACCGGGAGAAUAAGCUCCGGCUAACUCCGUG